rnacentral:misc_RNA from 1 species
GAAAUGCGAUAAGUAAUGUGAAUUGCAGAAUUCAGUGAAUAAUCGAAUCUUUGAACGCACCUUGCGCUCAUUGGUAUUCCUUGGAGCAUGCCUGUUUGAGUAUCAUGAAAUCUUCAAAGUAAAUCUUUUGUUAACUCAAUUGGUUUCUACUUUGGUAUUGGAGGUCUUUGCAGCUUCACACCUGCUCCUCUUUGUUCAUUAGCUGGAUCUCAGUGUUAUGCUUGGUUCCACUCGGCGUGAUAAGUUAUCUAUCGCUGAGGACACUGUAAAAGGUGGCCAAGGUAAAUGCAGAUGAACCGCUUCUAAUAGUCCAUUGACUUGGACAAUACUUUUAUGAUCUGAUCUCAAAUCAGGUAGGACUACCCGCUGAACUUAAGC